UAGUAAAGGAGAUAGGAUAGCUCAG
rnacentral:piRNA from 1 species